rnacentral:rRNA from 1 species
UACGUAGGGGGCAAGCGUUGUCCGGAUUUAUUGGGCGUAAAGAGCUCGUAGGUGGUUUGUUAAGUCGGAUGUGAAAUCUCCAGGCUCAACCUGGAGGGGUCCUUCGAUACUGCCAUGACUAGAGGUCGGUAGGGGAGUGUGGAAUUCCUGGUGGAGCGGUGAAAUGCGCAGAUAUCAGGAGGAACACCCGUAGCGAAGGCGGCACUCUGGGCCGAUUCUGACACUGAGGAGCGAAAGCGUGGGGAGCGAACAGG